GACGAACGCUGGCGGCGUGCUUAACACAUGCAAGUCGAACGGAAAGGCCCUGCUUGCAGGGUACUCGAGUGGCGAACGGGUGAGUAACACGUGGGUGAUCUGCCCUGCACUUCGGGAUAAGCCUGGGAAACUGGGUCUAAUACCGGAUAGGAGCCAUUUUUAGUGUGAUGGUUGGAAAGUUUUUUCGGUGUAGGAUGAGCUCGCGGCCUAUCGGCUUGUUGGUGGGGUAAUGGCCUACCAAGGCGGCGACGGGUAGCCGGCCUGAGAGGGUGGACGGCCACACUGGGACUGAGAUACGGCCCAGACUCCUACGGGAGGCAGCAGUGGGGAAUAUUGAACAAUGGGCGCAAGCCUGAUGCAGCGACGCCGCGUGGGGGAUGACGGCCUUCGGGUUGUAAACUACUUUCGCUAGGGACGAAGCUUUUUGUGACGGUACCUAAAGAAGAAGCACCGGCUAACUACGUG
rnacentral:rRNA from 1 species